CUGACCUAAAGUACAACGAGUAUAUUGUUUACAAUACAGCUCAGGUCAAGAUGCAAUUCUUGCGCAAGGUGAGGUUUCAUCACAAGCAGCAAUGAAGACGAAAACUAUUUUCAUCUACAUAGGUAAUACUUGGUGAUGUUACCUAUAUCAAUAAUACUUGGUGAAAUGUAAAAAAUUCCAAAUAUCGCCGAUAUUUUCAAUAAUACAGUAAUACUUGGUGAUAUUAUCUAUAUCAAUAAUGCUUUGAAAAGAAUCUCUUAUGAAA